UACGUAGGGGGCGAGCGUUAUCCGGAUUUACUGGGUGUAAAGGGAGCGUAGACGGCUGUGCAAGUCUGAAGUGAAAGGCAAGGGCUCAACCUUUGGACUGCUUUGGAAACUGUGCAGCUAGAGUGUCGGAGAGGCAAGUGGAAUUCCUAGUGUAGCGGUGAAAUGCGUAGAUAUUAGGAGGAACACCAGUGGCGAAGGCGGCUUGCUGGACGAUGACUGACGUUGAGGCUCGAAAGCGUGGGGAGCAAACAGG
rnacentral:rRNA from 1 species